AAGUUUUAAUCCAAUCCAACAUAUAGAUUGCAAGGAAAUGCCAUAAAUCCACACUAAUGUCCCUUGACUGCCGCCUAGAAAGUUGAUAAUGAACUUUGAUUUACAAUUUCUCCUUUUCUAACUGUUAAUUCUCAUUCAAACUUUGUGUGCAGUUUUGUUAUUAAGUCUUUGACUUAUCAUGUCAAAAUUCACCUUAUUCCAAUA
rnacentral:lncRNA from 1 species